GUAGAGAAUACCAAGGCGAUCGAGUGAACCAUGGUUAAGGAACUCGGCAAAAUGCCCCCGUAACUUCGGGAGAAGGGGGGCCGGAUGCGUUACAUGGCUUGCCCAUGGAAGCGUUGAUGGCCGCAGAGACCAGGCCCAAGCGACUGUUUACUAAAAACACAGGUCCGUGCGAAGAAGUAAUUCGAUGUAUACGGACUGACGCCUGCCCGGUGCUGGAACGUUAAGGGGACGGGUUAGCUGGUUUAGGCCGGCGAAGCUUUGAACUUAAGCGCCAGUAAACGGCGGUGGUAACUAUAACCAUCCUAAGGUAGCGAAAUUCCUUGUCGGGUAAGUUCCGACCUGCACGAAUGGCGUAACGACUUGGGCGCUGUCUCAACCAUGGACUCGGCGAAAUUGCAUUACGAGUAAAGAUGCUCGUUACGCGCAGCAGGACGGAAAGACCCCGGGACCUUUACUACAACUUGGUAUUGGUGGUCGGUACAACUUGUGUAGGAUAGGUGGGAGACUGUGAAAUCCGGACGCCAGUUCGGGUGGAGUCAUCGUUGAAAUACCACUCUGGUUGUUCUGGCUGUCUAACUUCGGUCCAUUAUCUGGAUCAGGGACAGUGCCUGGUGGGUAGUUUGACUGGGGCGGUCGCCUCCUAAAAGGUAACGGAGGCGCUCAAAGGUUCCCUCAGCCUGGUUGGCAAUCAGGUGUCGAGUGUAAGCGCACAAGGGAGCUUGACUGUGAGACAGACAUGUCGAGCAGGGACGAAAGUCGGAACUAGUGAUCCGGCGGUGGCAUGUGGGAGCACCGUCGCUCAACGGAUAAAAGGUACCCCGGGGAUAACAGGCUGAUCUUCCCCAAGAGUCCAUAUCGACGGGAUGGUUUGGCACCUCGAUGUCGGCUCGUCGCAUCCUGGGGCUGGAGUAGGUCCCAAGGGUUGGGCUGUUCGCCCAUUAAAGCGGCACGCGAGCUGGGUUUAGAACGUCGUGAGACAGUUCGGUCCCUAUCCGCUGCGCGCGCAGGAGACUUGAGAAGGGCUGCCCCUAGUACGAGAGGACCGGGGUGGACGAACCUCUGGUGUGCCAGUUGUUCCGCCAGGAGCACGGCUGGUUGGCUACGUUCGGGAGUGAUAACCGCUGAAAGCAUCUAAGCGGGAAGCACGCUUCAAGAUGAGGUCUCCCACCGAGUUAAUCGGGUAAGGCCCCCAGUAGACCACUGGGUUGAUAGGCCAGAGGUGGAAGCGCCGUAAGGUGUGGAGCUGACUGGUACUAAUAGGCCGAGGGCUUGUCCC
rnacentral:rRNA from 1 species